AUUGAACGCUGGCGGAAUGCUUUACACAUGCAAGUCGAGCGGCAGCGCGGGGCAACCUGGCGGCGAGCGGCGAACGGGUGAGUAAUGCAUCGGAACGUACCCAGUCGUGGGGGAUAACUGUCCGAAAGGACAGCUAAUACCGCAUACGUCCUGAGGGAGAAAGCGGGGGAUCGCAAGACCUCGCGCGAUUGGAGCGGCCGAUGCCGGAUUAGCUAGUUGGUAGGGUAAAGGCCUACCAAGGCGACGAUCCGUAGCUGGUCUGAGAGGACGACCAGCCACACUGGAACUGAGACACGGUCCAGACUCCUACGGGAGGCAGCAGUGGGGAAUUUUGGGACAAUGGGGGGCAACCCUGAUCCAGCCAUUCCGCGUGAGUGAAGAA
rnacentral:rRNA from 1 species